rnacentral:rRNA from 1 species
UACGGGGGGGGCAAGCGUUGUUCGGAAUUACUGGGCGUAAAGGGCGUGUAGGCGGCCAACUAAGUCCGACGUGAAAUCCCCAGGCUUAACCUGGGAACUGCGUCGGAUACUGGAUGGCUUGAAUCCGGGAGAGGGAUGCAGAAUUCCAGGUGUAGCGGUGAAAUGCGUAGAUAUCUGGAGGAAUACCGGUGGCGAAGGCGGCAUCCUGGACCGGCAUUGACGCUGAGGAGCGAAAGCCAGGGGAGCAAACAGG